UACAGAGGGUGCGAGCGUUAAUCGGAAUUACUGGGCGUAAAGCGUUCGUAGGCGGCGUGGUAAGUUGGGUUUGAAAGCCCGGGGCUCAACUCCGGACCCGGAUCCAAAACUACCAUGCUUGAGCGUAUCAGGGGGCAGCGGAAUUCCCGGUGUAGCGGUAAUAUGCGUAGAUAUCGGGAGGAACACCAGUGGCGAAGGCGGCUGCCUGGGGUAUUGCUGACGCUGAGGAGCGAAAGCGUGGGGAGCGAACAGG
rnacentral:rRNA from 1 species